GCUGUGGUGUCUUUGUGAUGCUGAUGGCGAAACCGGUGGUGGAAGAGUUCCCAAAAAUUCCUGACAGCAUUAAUAUAAGGAGAUGAUGUGCCACUACAGGAAAAAUGUGGCCAAUGAAAUUUUGCUGGCAUCAGUGUGAAGAGAGGAGUACUGCUCUGUGUGUGGAGAAAAAGAAAGAGCCCAAACAGAGGAGCAAUGCAUCUGGAUUCAAUGUGAAUUAUGCCAGAGGUAGUUUCAUGUUCAGUGCCUCAACAUUAAUCUGCUACCAGAAGAACAAGCAUGGAUUUGUGAUG